GAUGAACGCUGGCGGCGUGCCUAAUACAUGCAAGUCGAACGGGGUAUUUGAGCAAUCGAAUACUUAGUGGCGAACGGGUGAGUAACGCGUUGGUGACCUGCCCCGAAGCGGGGGAUAACAGCCUGAAAGGGUUGCUAAUACCGCAUACGAUUAUGAGAGACUAGAAGCUUGUAAUCAAAGGAGAAAUCCACUUUGGGAGGGGCCUGCGUCCCAUCAGCUAGUUGGUAGGGUAAAAGCCUACCAAGGCGAAGACGGGUAGGGGACCUGAGAGGGUGACCCCCCACAAUGGAACUGAAACACGGUCCAUACACCUACGGGUGGCAGCAGUAGGGGAUAUUGCACAAUGGGCGAAAGCCUGAUGCAGCAACGCCGCGUGAGUGAUGAAGGCCCUCGGGUCGUAAAACUCUUUUCAAGAGGAAGAGGAAGGACGGUACUCUUGGAAUAAGCCUCGGCUAACUACGUG
rnacentral:rRNA from 1 species